rnacentral:rRNA from 1 species
CCCUUAGAUGUCCUGGGCCGCACGCGCGCUACACUGAUGCAUGCAACGAGUUUAUAACCUUGGCCUGAAAGGUCUGGGUAAUCUUUUGAACGUGCAUCGUGAUAGGGAUAGAUUAUUGCAAUUGUUAAUCUUGAACGAGGAAUUCCUAGUAAACGCGAGUCAUCGGCUCGCAUUGAUUACGUCCCUGCCCUUUGUACACACCGCCCGUCGCACCUACCGAUUGAAUGGUUCGGUGAAGAUCUCGGACUUCGAUAUUUAUUCUUUAUUGAGUUUAUAUUGUGGGAAGUUAUCUAAACCUCAUCAUUUAGAGGAAGGUGAAGUCGUAACA